rnacentral:rRNA from 1 species
AUAACCAUAAGUAAAAUCUGCUCCAUGUAAAAAUAAAUAGCCGCAAAUUACUGUGCUAAGGUAGCAUAAUCAUUAGCCUCUUAAUUAGAGGCUAGAAUGAACGAUUUUACAUCUUAAUUUAUUUUUUUAUACCAUAAAUUUAAAUUUAAUUAAAUAUAAAAAUGUAUUUAUAAAAAAAAAAGACGAUAAGACCCUAUUGAACUUAACUACAGUUAAGCUGGGGAAGCUAGUUAAAUAUAAUUUUAAUUUCGAAAUUAACAGAAAAAACCAAUAACAUUGAAAUAUCAAGUUACCAUAGGGAUAACAGCGUAAUGUUUUUUAAAAGUUCUUAUUAAAAAGAAAGAUUGCGACCUCGAUGUUGAAUUAAUUUUACUAUAUAACGUAAUAGUUACAAAAGUAGGUCUGUUCGACCUUUAAAUAAUUACA